GUAGGUGGCAAGCGUUGUCCGGAAUUAUUGGGCGUAAAGCGCGCGCAGGCGGUUCUUUUAAGUCUGAUGUGAAAGCCCACGGGCUCAACCGUGGAGGGUCAUUGGAAACUGGAGAACUUGAGUACAGAAGAGGAAAGCGGAAUUCCACGUGUAGCGGUGAAGUGCGUAGAGAUGUGGAGGAACACCAGUGGCGAAGGCGGCUUUCUGGUCUGUAACUGACGCUGAGGCGCGAAAGCGUGGGGAGCAAACAGGAUUAGAUACCCUGGUAGUCCACGCCGUAAACGAUGAGUGCUAAGUGUUAGGGGGUUUCCGCCCCUUAGUGCUGCAGCUAACGCAUUAAGCACUCCGCCUGGGGAGUACGGCCGCAAAGGCUG
rnacentral:rRNA from 1 species